UACGAAGGGGACUAGCGUUGUUCGGAAUCACUGGGCGUAAAGCGCACGUAGGCGGAUGUGUCAGUCAGGGGUGAAAUCCCGGGGCUCAACCUCGGAACUGCCUUUGAUACAGCCCGUCUCGAGUCCGGAAGAGGUGGGUGGAAUUCCUAGUGUAGAGGUGAAAUUCGUAGAUAUUAGGAAGAACACCGGUGGCGAAGGCGGCCCACUGGUCCGGUACUGACGCUGAGGUGCGAAAGCGUGGGGAGCAAACAGG
rnacentral:rRNA from 1 species